CCCACAUAAGGAUGGUAUUCUCAUACAGUAACAUCCCACAUAAGGAUGGUAUUCUUAUACAGUAACUUCCCACAUAAGGAUGGUAUUCUCAUACAGUAACUGCCCACAUAAGGAUGGUAUUCUCAUACAGUAAAACCCACAUAAGGAUGGUAUUCUCAUACAGUAACAUCCCACAUAGGGAUGGUAUUCUCAUACAGUAAAACCCACAUAAG